UACGAAGGGGGCUAGCGUUGCUCGGAAUUACUGGGCGUAAAGGGCCCGUAGGUGGCCAACUAAGUCAGACGUGAAAUCCCUCGGCUUAACCGGGGAACUGCGUCUGAUACUGGAUGGCUUGAGUUUGGGAGAGGGAUGCGGAAUUCCAGGUGUAGCGGUGAAAUGCGUAGAUAUCUGGAGGAACACCGGUGGCGAAGGCGGCAUCCUGGACCAAUACUGACACUGAGGAGCGAAAGCCAGGGGAGCAAACGGG
rnacentral:rRNA from 1 species